rnacentral:ncRNA from 1 species
CCGGCUCCGGUUCACGUCCGUACGGACGACCCGGCGGCC